AGUGAACGCUGGCGGUAGGCCUAACACAUGCAAGUCGAACGGCAGCACAGGAGAGCUUGCUCUCUGGGUGGCGAGUGGCGGACGGGUGAGGAAUACAUCGGAAUCUACUUUUUCGUGGGGGAUAACGUAGGGAAACUUACGCUAAUGCCGCAUACGACCUACGGGUGAAAGCAGGGGACCUUCGGGCCUUGCGCGAUUGAAUGAGCCGAUGUCGGAUUAGCUAGUUGGCGGGGUAAAGGCCCACCAAGGCGACGAUCCGUAGCUGGUCUGAGAGGAUGAUCAGCCACACUGGAACUGAGACACGGUCCAGACUCCUACGGGAGGCAGCAGUGGGGAAUAUUGGACAAUGGGCGCAAGCCUGAUCCAGCCAUACCGCGUGGGUGAAGAAGGCCUUCGGGUUGUAAAGCCCUUUUGUUGGGAAAGAAAUCCAGCUGGCUAAUACCCGGAUGGGAUGACGGUACCCAAAGAAUAAGCACCGGCUAACUUCGUGCCAGCCGCCGCAGUAA
rnacentral:rRNA from 1 species